GAGGCCCGGCGGGCAGUCAGCACCGGGGGUGCCAGCCCAGCCGCCGCCUAGUGCCUGACCGCGCGACCCCCACGUGCCAUGCGCCCGGUGUGGUCCUGUCACCUGCUCCCAGCCACCGAGACCCGCGGCCUGCACGUUGCAGGAGCGCCAUCGGCUCAAUCCCCGAAACGGCCGAAGGUGGCGAAGGGCUCGGGGGUCGUAAGGUCCCCCUCAGCGCACCGGACCGGCAGGGAUCAGUGCCCAGACUCCGAGCACUGGGAGCAGUCUGUCACCAGCUUGAAGUCUCAGGCCCCGAAAGUUCAGUUCUCCUUCCCCAGCUGUUUACCAGGCACUUCACACAGGGCGAGAAAACAUUGUUCCAGCUCAUCCAGGGCUUAAAAUACAAGCCAUAGACUAUGAAUUGUUGUGCUUUGUUUCCUAAGGGAAAUGAAUAUAUUUUACAGGAAUCAGACAAGAUUCUCUGGAGGGUGUUGGUAACUCACUUAUUUCAUUUCCAUGCCCUUGAUCAUAUCAGGUAUCCUUUCAACAGGCAUUGUUGCCAAGCACUAUGCCAGAAUGUAUUCCAGCACCUAGAAAAGGUCCUACUAUAAGUAGGCACCGAGCCAUGGGCAUCUCUCAGGACAACUGGCACAAGUGCCACAGGCUGGGGACAAGAGAAAGCCCUAUCAGAAGAAGCAAAUAUAUGAGCUGGGCCACCCUCCUGCCAACACUAAGAUGGGCACCCACUGAAUGCGCACAGUCGGAGCGCGAGGAGGCAGCAAAAAGUACCAUGUCUUGAAGCUAGAUGUGGGCAACUUUUCCUGGGCUCCAAGAGUUGUACAGGCAAAACAAGAAUUAUCGAUGUUGUCUACAGUGCAUCCAACAAUGACCUGGUCCACACCAAGGCCCUAGUAAAUGACUGCAUCAUGAUCAUUGACAGCACACCAGACGGACAGCAGUACAAAUCCCACCAUGUACUGUCCCUGGGCCAUAAGACGGGGGCCAAACUGACUCCUAAGGAUGAAGAGACUUUAAGCAAAAAACAUUUGAAGAAAAUGAAGAAGGAAUAUGACGAAAGGGGAAAGAACGCCACAGUCAGCAGUGCUCUAGAGGAACCGUUCUAGCAGAGCAAGCGUCUUGCACACAUGCCUCACAGCCGUGCUGCAGGUGGCUGUGUGCUGGAGGGCAAGAAGCUGGGCUUCUAGCUGAGGAAAGUCAAGGCCCAAGAAGGCAAACAAACCCUCCUCUCUCUCUUAACUCAUGUCAUAAAGGUGGUACACAGUCUACGGGAAAAAAAGAUAUUUUCAGAAAGGAGAAAGGAAAUAAUCAAAAAAGUACAGGAAAGAGGAAAGCUGGAGGAGAGGACGACAAAAAGUAUAAGGAAGAUUAAAAGAGAGAGAGAUUAUCAGGAUAGGCCAGAAGUAUGGGCAAGUAAGAGAAACAGAAGGAUAUUAAAUUGGUCAAACAGUGGGGUGUUAUUUACUGCCUGGAAUCAGCUGGAGGAUUUUCAACCUUGGCUGAAUUGACAGAACUAAGCUAAGUUCACUUGGGCUAAAAGGCAUUUUUUAAUGUUACAUAUCUUAUGUAAUUAAUUGUUUGCCUUAGAUCAGCAAUUUUCUACCGGCAUGCCACAAGAGUUUUUAAAGCAUGCAAUAUGUGACUAUUGGGUGAGGGGCCCUGACCUCUUUUCCCUUAGAUUGUCAAAUUAAAAAUUACAACAGCCACACAACAAUUGCCAUCUGGUGUGAAUGAAUCAAAAUUAUACCUAUUUUUGUCAGACUGGCAAAAAUAUAUAUAUUCUGGUGUGCUGCAGAAUUUUAGUAAUUAGUUUAUGUGCCAUGAGAUGAAAAAGGUUGAAAAUCAUCACCUUAGAUAAACAUGCCAUCAUUUUGAUGUACCUGAAUUAAACUUCAGAUGAAAUCUGUGAUCUGAGUUUGUCUUGAGCCUGCUGCAGAAGACCUAGAUCAACAAUGACUCAGUAGUCAAGAAGUAAAAAUAAAUAAAAGGAAAGGAAAAAAUAGAAAGCAAGGGAGAAAGGUGAGGUGCAAGCAAGAUUUGGACCAAAAUGUGUAUGGUUUCUGUACAGAAAAGAGAACGAGGACACAGGUAAAGAGAAUGGAAGAUGAAUGAUGGUGAGAAAACUUCUUGCUUGUGCUGGCUCCUCUAUCUCACUUUCUCCUUAUUACCUCUGCCUAUGAUUCUCUCACUAGAAAGCUCAUGCCAUUGCCACCUUUGCCACCAAAGCAUCCUGUGUCAAUCAGGAAAAGCUCUGGUCAGACCUCUCUUGGCUCUGACCUUUCAAAGACAGCUUUGGGCUAUAAACGUGUUUAUGUACCGCCUUCCUGCAUCUGAAGUCCCUCAAGUCAGGGACUUUGUCCUCCUCGUUUUAUCCAGGACCAAGCUCAGUGGCUUGCACUUAGAAUCUAUGCAAUAAAAAUGUAUUGAUGCCCUAACUCAGGGGUCCUCAAACUUUUUAAACAGGGACCAGUUCACUGUCCCUCAGACCGUUGGAGGGCCGGACUA